GCGGCCGUGACCCUGCUGGAGUGCGGGGGGGACCUCCAGCCCCCCGGGGGAUCCCUGCGCCUCCUCUGCCGAGGGUCCGGGUUCAGUUUUGGGGAUUAUGGAAUGUACUGGAUCCACCAGAGGCCCGGGCAGGCUUUGGAAUACGUCGCAGGCAUCUACUACAAUAGUGCCAACACCUACUACGCGCCAUCGGUCAAGGGUCGGUUCAGGAUCUCCAGGGAAAACGGGCAGAGCUCGGUGAUGCUGACCAUGAACAACCUCAAGGACGAGGAUUCCGCCAUUUAUUUCUGCGCCAAGUGUGCUGCUAAUAAUUACCCUGAACAUGCUGCUCGUAGUGUCGAUGCCCAAGAGGAAUCCUGA